GACGAACGCUGGCGGCGUGCUUAACACAUGCAAGUCGAACGGAAAGGCCCUGCUUUUGUGGGGUGCUCGAGUGGCGAACGGGUGAGUAACACGUGAGUAACCUGCCCUUGACUUUGGGAUAACUUCAGGAAACUGGGGCUAAUACCGGAUAGGAGCUCCUGCUGCAUGGUGGGGGUUGGAAAGUUUCGGCGGUUGGGGAUGGACUCGCGGCUUAUCAGCUUGUUGGUGGGGUAGUGGCUUACCAAGGCUUUGACGGGUAGCCGGCCUGAGAGGGUGACCGGCGACAUUGGGACUGAGAUACGGCCCAGACUCCUACGGGGGGCAGCAGUGGGGAAUAUUGCACAAUGGGCGGAAGCCUGAUGCAGCAACGCCGCGUGCGGGAUGAAGGCCUUCGGGUUGUAAACCGCUUUAGCCUGUGACGAAGCGUGAGUGACGGUAAUGGGUAAAGAAGCACCGGCUAACUACGUG
rnacentral:rRNA from 1 species